rnacentral:tRNA from 1 species
GGGGUUGUGGCUCAGAGGUAGAGCGCUUGCCUAGCAUGUAUGAGGCACUGGGUUCGAUCCUCAGCACCACA